GUAGGUGGCAAGCGUUGUCCGGAAUUAUUGGGCGUAAAGCGCGCGCAGGCGGUUCUUUAAGUCUGAUGUGAAAGCCCACGGGCUCAACCGUGGAGGGUCAUUGGAAACUGGAGAACUUGAGUACAGAAGAGGAAAGCGGAAUUCCACGUGUAGCGGUGAAAUGCGUAGAGAUGUGGAGGAACACCAGUGGCGAAGGCGGCUUUCUGGUCUGUAACUGACGCUGAGGCGCGAAAGCGUGGGGAGCAAACAGGAUUAGAUACCCUGGUGGUCCACGCCGUAAACGAUGAGUGCUAAGUGUUAGGGGGUUUCCGCCCCUUAGUGCUGCAGCUAACGCAUUAAGCACUCCGCCUGGGGAGUACGGCCGCAAGGCUG
rnacentral:rRNA from 1 species